UGGGGAAUAUUGCACAAUGGGCGCAAGCCUGAUGCAGCCAUGCCGCGUGUGUGAAGAAGGCCUUCGGGUUGUAAAGCACUUUCAGCGAGGAGGAAGGUGGUGAGCUUAAUACGCUCAUCAAUUGACGUUACUCGCAGAAGAAGCACCGGCUAACUCCGUGCCAGCAGCCGCGGUAAUACGGAGGGUGCAAGCGUUAAUCGGAAUUACUGGGCGUAAAGCGCACGCAGGCGGUUUGUUAAGUCAGAUGUGAAAUCCCCGGGCUCAACCUGGGAACUGCAUUUGAAACUGGCAAGCUAGAGUCUCGUAGAGGGGGUAGAAUUCCAGGUGGUAGCGGUGAAAUGCGUAGAGAUCUGGAGGAAUACCGGUGGCGAAGGCGGCCCCCUGGA
rnacentral:rRNA from 1 species